UCCUUCACUGGUGCUUUGCCUUAAGUU
rnacentral:piRNA from 1 species